UAGAGGUACGAAGAAAAUAAAGGGGAAGUGAAAUGAUGAGAGAUAAGGAAGAUAGUGGGUGGUGGGUCCUUUUUGAUUUUGUUGGCUGAAUGUGAUAUUUGAAGUCAGUGCAUGUUGCCUAUUUAAAUGUGUGUUUGUGCAUUGAUGGGUAUUGAAGCAAAGAAGAAAAAAAUAGAGUGAGCCGAGACAGAGAGUUUUGAGAGAUAGUCAGAGGGCCGAGAGUUGCAGAGGAGGCCGGAGCUUGGUGCCUUGGUGAUCCAGUGGGAAUUAAUCUUUUUCAGUUUUCAGGUAUCGAAGAUGAACGGGGAUGGCUAGAUUCGGGCUUAGGCUGAAGAGUUGGCAUUGCAGGAUUUUAUUUUUUUAUUUGGAAAUUUUUUUGUAUAUUUGAGGAAAUUAAUUUUUGUAUAAAAGAGGGGGUAAUUUUUAUGAUCCUGGGUGUAUUUUGAUGUAUUUGGACUCCUAUAAAUUGAGGAUUUUAGUGGAAUUUUCGGGUCGUGACAAAAUGGUAUCAGAGUUGAAUCCAGCCAGAAGUGUGAGUAUAAUGAUGAUGUAGACAUGUGUGAGUGGACGAGUGUGUAGCACUGGUGAGCUAUCACUCGUAGCCUGGUGUGUGUGGGCGGAUGGCGUUCACCGGCAGCUACUGGGAUGGUUAGUUGGUGUGGUUGGGCAGGUAGCGCAGAUUUGUUAUUAUUUUUUUUUAGUGGGUGGGCAAGUGACGCAUCGACAAGCUACCACAACGGUUACGGAGUGUGUGGGCGGGUGACUAGCACUGUCAGCUACUACAACGUCUUACAUAUCACUGUAUCUUACAUCGCCUGGGUUAAGGAUUUGUGGAUUUGGUUUCUUGAUUAUUAGUGUUUUCGGGUAUACGGACUGUUGGAUCUGAAUUUCGAGGACGAAAUUUUUUUUAAGUGGUGGAGAUUGUGAUAACCCGAAUUUUCUUAUAUUUUAAUUUAUAAUUUUAUUAUUAUUAUUAUUAUUAUUAUUAUAGUUUUGAGUUCAUUUCACUAUUUCAGUGAAGGUGUAAUUAUAGUUUUUUUAUAUAGUUUAUAUAUAUGUGUGUGUGUAAUCUGAUGGAAUGAAAAGGUGGCAGCAAGGUGCUGAAUGGGGUGGAAAGAAAAAAAGUGUGGUAAUGUGUUUUUGGGCCUACCAAGAGAUACUGGUCUUGAUUCACUAUAUAUAUAUAUAUAUAUAUAUAUCUGUAUAUAUUGUAUCUGUUGAGGCAUAAAGGGAGCCAGCCGUGGGAAAUGAGAAAAAGAGAAAAGUAGAAAAGAAAGUUGGUGUGAUGUGAGUGGGACCCACUUGGGCUUUUGUGCCCAAAAAUUUCUUUGGUUUUAGUUCUGUGCACGUGGGCUACUUUUGUGGUGGUUUGGUGAUGAUAUAUAUAUAUGAAGAUUUCAAAGGCUUCAUUGAUUUUGUUCCAGUGUAUAUAUGAUAUAUAUAUAUAUGGUGUCAGAUGGUGAUAAGAAAGGGCAUGAGCAGUUGGCCGACGAGAGGUUUAUGGUCAAAAUUAAAUUGGGUUGGCAGGUUGUUCACGUGGGCGUGGUCUAGUAGAGGUACGAAGAAAAUAAAGGAGGAGGUGAAAUGAUGAGAGAUAAAGAAGAUAGUGGGUGGUGGGUCCUUUUUGAUUUUGUUGGUUAAAUGUGAUAUUUGAAGUCGGUGCAUGUUGCCUAUUUAAAUGUGUGUUUGUGCACUGAUGGGUAUUAAAGCAAAGAAGAAAAAAAAUAGAGUGAGCCAAGACAGAGAGUUUUGAGAGACAGUCAGAGGGCCGAGAGUUGCAGAGGAGGCUGGAGCUUGGUGCCUUGGUGAUCCAGUGGGGAGUUAAUCUUUUUCAGUAUAGGGUUCUUUAUACCUUGAAUGACUUGGGGUGAUUUUGCUUCAAUGGUUUUGAUUAAAUGUUUUAAUUAAAUGCAUAUGUAUUUUGUUUAUAUACUCACAUGACUAUUUAUAUUUUGUGAACCUGUUUUAUUAAACCUCCAUGAAGUUCUUGUUAUGGUUUUUCUUAUUGGGACUUUUUGUCUCACCACUUUUCAGUUUCAGGUAUCGAAGAUGAACGGGGAUGGCUAGAUUCGGGCUUAGGCUGAAGAGUUGGCGUUGCAGGAUUUUAUUUUUUUAUUUGGAGAAUUUUUUUGUAUAUUUGAGGAAAUUAAUUUUUGUAUAAAAGAGGGGGUAAUUUUUAUGAUCCUGGAUGUAUUUUGAUGUAUUUGGACUCAUAUAAAUUGAGAAUUUUAGUGGAA